UCUUGCUGCUGCUGGGGGAAUGGUUGACGGAGGCAUCAACAACCUCGUAGAUGGUGUGAAGCAGGCUGGUGAUGUCCUGCAAGAGAGGGGAUUAAUAAAAGAGUCGGAGAAGAAAGCGCUUCAUUCCCCCCACCAAGCUGCCGCCUGCCGUCUCAUGAGCCACGAAGCCACAGGCAACGCCAAAAUCCUGCAMAGCCAACCGCACAGAGGAAAGCUACAGUCUCUGUUUGCGCCGUUUCAAGUUGUUCUCAAGAAACACGGGGCCUUUUCUGGAUGUUUUCUCAGAUCUGCAGCAGGCAGAUGCAAGCCACGAGGUGCCUCGCAGGAGCGGAAACACACAGACUUUGCUGGAUUUAGUUUUUAGGUAGCGAGAGUUUGAUUCCUCUUUUAUUCUUACUUUAUUUGGACAUGAUGACAUCUCAAUGAGUUACAGAAAUACAUUUUUCUUUGCAAAGUUAAGGAG